CUAAGCAGCAGUUUGUUCUGUGUUUAGAAUAAUAAUACUCCUUAACUGAGGCAAAGAGGGGCGGUGACACUACUAUUUAUGGCUUGUUGUCCCUUGCCACUUCGGCACAGGGAAUGCAGCUGGACUGGUUGUUGCUUUUACAAUUGCUGCACACUUUUUGUAUUAGCAACCCCCACUUAGCAGAAAACUUAUGAAACUGUUCCCUCAGCACAGAGAAUUAAAAUGAAGAUCUUUUUCAAAGUAAUGUUUCCAGUUGCUGUAUCCUGUCUUCUCGUUUAAACUUUUAGUAGGUAGUUCUUCAAAGUUUCCUUUUUUUUUUCCCCAAAACCAUGAAUGCAAGAAACCUUCAAGUCAAAGGGGCCUGCUGUACUAAUGGAAGAGAGGUCUCAUCAGGACCUUGGGUGUGGUACAUCAGUCUCUCAGUUCCAGAUGAGAGCAAACAGAAUCCUAACAAAUGCAAUCACAAAACUCCUUGAGAUGUACACUGCUCUAGGGAGAAGACCAGACAGAAUACCAGCAGUGACACACAGAUGAUGACACUAGUUUUUUCUCCCCCAGAGGGAGAAUAUGCAUCCUAUUGUGACAAAACUCCUUGUUUGCUGAGAAAAAAGAAGUAUUCUGCAUGGUACCAGCACUGCAGACAUUUGGGGUUUUUUUGUUUGUUUGGUUGGUUGGUUUACUGGAAGAUUUCAUUGAAUAUCUCCCUGGGUUAUAGAACAUUACUUAUUUAUAGGCAUACUCAAAUCUUUUCAACUGAGGUCACAAUCUGACUGAGGUCAGAAAAAAAUCUGUCCUUUCAUUUUCCAGCUGCAAGUUUGAAAUAUCCCAUGGUAAACUUGACAUAAUGGUCUGUUUUCACUUUCCCACAUGAUAUUCAGCUAUGCAAAACAAAGUAUGCUGAUAAUGUGACGAUCAGCAUCCUAGUAUACUAAAAUAUUUCUAUUUGUGUUUUGUGUCACUGUUAAUAGGGAUAUACUGGGGAUACAAUACUUCAAAUAAAGCCUCCUGUAAAAGCAGUAAAUGGACAGACUGUAAGAAUUCAGACAGAAAUUGGGCAAAACCAGAGUUUUAGAAGUUUCUAGGCUACAAUUCCACAGACAUAAUUGGAGACAAUUUGUUUAUUAACCUGUCAUUCCACGGAAAGCUGAACAAACCUAGUGUGCGGUGGUGCCCAACAGAGAGGAAGUCUCACUCUUGCCUCUCUUCUCUCCUGUCCAGCCCCCACAUCACACAUUUGACACUUACUUUGUGAAGGCUCCCAUGCUUCUCGGACUCUUCAGAAUGCUGCCCCUAACCUAGUAGAAAACUGCCCAGUUCUUCUGCUAAGUAGUUUCCUGCUGGGGUAGUGGUUAGCCUCACUUGAGCAUGGAAAUUGGAUACAUAGGAAGGCAAACAGCAGCAUGACCAUGGGAAAGAGCAAGAUUUUCCUAUCUUGGCAGCUGUAAGUCAUAGUUUGCCCAGUUACCCAAGAAACUACAACUCAGUAAUACUGUGACAAGAGACAAAGAAAAAGAGCUCCUUGUGUCAUUCACUUCAGCUGAUAGAAAGGACACUUGCUGACUUCAGCUAACAGUUUGAUUUUAUGAAUUUCAUGAAAAAAUAAAGUGGGUCAAGAUGUCCUCCUGGCAAGUUCAGUAAAUCCUUAGCAACAGUGUGUUAUUUGGUUUGCAGCAGGGAAUCUAACCAACAGACAUACAGCCAAGAAGGAGGACUACAUUGUGCUGGACUACACAUACAUAACAAAAAUUGUUUUCUGCAAAUAGAUCGCAACUGAGCAAAACAAAUAAAGACAGGAGAAAUCAAAAAAUUUCCAUGUCUGUACUACAGGUCAGUAACUGUCAGUAACUUUUUCACAGCAGCUUGAACCUAUUCAGAGCUCCACUAGCUUACAUUAUAACAUCCAUGAUUCUUAUAAAUGGAAAACCAAAUCCAUCAAGGUUGCAGAAGAAACCACUCAAAUAAAUGGAAAAUGCACACUAGAUACAAGACUUAAUUAAAAAAAAGAAGAUUCAGUUCAGUGGCAAUUUUUAUUGAAACAAUGUACUGUGAUCCCAGAAAUGUCAAUUAAAAGGACCUGUGCGGUUUGC